rnacentral:rRNA from 1 species
CGAAAGCCUGACGGAGCAACGCCGCGUGGGGGAAGAAGGUUUUUGGAUUGUAAACCCCUUUUCUCAGGGAAGAAGAUCUGACGGUACCUGAGGAAUCAGCCUCGGCUAACUCCGUGCCAGCAGCCGCGGUAAUACGGAGGAGGCAAGCGUUAUCCGGAAUCAUUGGGCGUAAAGCGUUCGUAGGCGGCUGUUCAAGUCUGCUGUCAAAGACCGAGGCUCAACCUCGGGUCGGCAGUGGAAACUGGACAGCUAGAGGUCGGUAGGGGCAAAGGGAAUUCCCAGUGUAGCGGUGAAAUGCGUAGAUAUUGGGAAGAACACCGGUGGCGAAAGCGCUCUACUGGGUCGCACCUGACCCUCAGGGACGAAAGCUAAGGGAGCG